UUCUACGUACGUCCAGAUCUGCCCUAACAACAUCCUUUCCUCCUGCGCCCACUCUACCUUGCAGGGGUGCCUUCCUCUUGAGGCCUCUUCCUCUCCAGAAGGAAGCGUUGCACUCCCUACUUGCAUGUAUUAGUUUCCCUGUGUGUGUGUGUGUGUGUGUGUGUGUGUGUGUGUUGAGGGAAAUAAGAGAUUUGUUCUCUGGGAAAUAGCUGAUCCAGAAACUGUCAUUAAUUCAUAGGCCAAAAAGCCAAACUCCUAUUUUGCAGCCCUUUCCCCAUGGACUUAAGGAGUCUGAGGAUUAAAAAAAAAAAAAAAAGUCUGAGGUAUAAAUACGAUCAUAAAGAGACAUUCAAAUUUGCUUUCUUCAAAGAUUUUGCUCUGAGCUACCCACGACUGCCUGAGACAUGUCAGAUCUUCAAGAAGUGGCUAGCUCUACUCUGAGAAGCUUUCUGUUU
rnacentral:lncRNA from 1 species